CCCAGGACAGAACGUCCGCUCAGCAGCAGCUGUGGAUGAUGGAAGACACCCUGGCAGGUCUGGGGGGCCCCCAGAAACCACCCCAAAGCACUGAGCCUGAGUCCCCGUCUCCUGCACUCCAAGGCGAGGAGUCUUCAGAGAGAGAGAGUCUGCCUGAAUCCUUGGAACUGAGCUCACCCCGGUCCCCAGAAGCCGACUGGGGGCGGCCCCCCGGGGGGGACAGAGGCCCUGCCAGCCCUCGCUCAGGUGUUGGAUCUCCCAGGAUCUCCCAGGCUUCUAGCCGCGAGGGUCGCUGCCCUCCCUCCCCACAGCCAGGAGCCAAG